UACGUAGGGGGGCGAGCGUUGUCCGGAAUUAUUGGGCGUAAAGAGCUCGUAGGUGGUUUGUCGCGUUGUUCGUGAAAACCUGAGGCUUAACCUUGGGCGUGCGGGCGAUACGGGCAGACUGGAGUACUGCAGGGGAGACUGGAAUUCCUGGUGUAGCGGUGGAAUGCGCAGAUAUCAGGAGGAACACCGGUGGCGAAGGCGGGUCUCUGGGCCGUAACUGACGCUGAGGAGCGAAAGCAUGGGGAGCGAACAGG
rnacentral:rRNA from 1 species